rnacentral:rRNA from 1 species
CCCUUAGAUGUUCUGGGCCGCACGCGCGCUACACUGAUGCAUUCAACGAGUCUAAAACCUGCUCUGAUAGGGGUGGGUAAUCUUUUGAAUGUGCAUCGUGAUUGGGAUAGAUGAUUGCAAUUUUUCAUCUUCAACGAGGAAUGCCUAGUAAACGCAAGUCAUCAGCUUGCAUUGAUUACGUCCCUGCCCUUUGUACACACCGCCCGUCGCUCCUACCGAUUGAAUGAUCCGAUGAAUAUCAUGGAUUGAGGAUUAUAGCAGGUUCGCCUGUCUUGAUCUUCGAGAAGUGAAAUAAAUCUUAUCAUUUAGAGGAAGGAGAAGUCGUAACA